CGCUGGCGGCGUGCCUAAUACAUGCAAGUCGAACGGUCUUUCUAUGGAAGCUUGCUUCCACUGAGAAGAUAGUGGCGAACGGGUGAGUAACACGUGGGUAACCUGCCCAUAAGAGGGGGAUAACAUCCGGAAACGGGUGCUAAUACCGCAUAGUUUUCUUGAUCGCAUGAUCGGGAAAGGAAAGACGGCCUUUGUGCUGUCGCUUAUGGAUGGACCCGCGGCGUAUUAGUUAGUUGGUGAGGUAACGGCUCACCAAGACGAUGAUACGUAGCCGACCUGAGAGGGUGAUCGGCCACAUUGGGACUGAGACACGGCCCAAACUCCUACGGGAGGCAGCAGUAGGGAAUCUUCCGCAAUGGGCGAAAGUCUGACGGAGCAACGCCGCGUGAGUGAAGAAAGGUUUUCGGAUCGUAAAACUCUGUUGUCAGAGAAGAACAAGUUGGAGAGUAACUGCUCCAGCCUUGACGGUAUCUGACCAGAAAGCCACGGCUAACUACGUGCCAGCAGCGGC
rnacentral:rRNA from 1 species